rnacentral:tRNA from 1 species
GCGAGUGUGGCGGAAUUGGUAGACGCGCUGGACUUAGGAUCCAGUGUCUUACGACGUGGGGGUUCGAGUCCCUUCACUCGCA